CGAAACCAGGUGAUCUACCCAUGUCCAGGAUGAAGGUAAGGUAAUACUUACUGGAGGUCCGAACCCACGCACGUUGAAAAGUGCGGGGAUGAGGUGUGGGUAGCGGAGAAAUUCCAAUCGAACUUGGAGAUAGCUGGUUCUCUCCGAAAUAGCUUUAGGGCUAGCCUCGAGGUAAAGAGUCAUGGAGGUAGAGCACUGUUUGGACUAGGGGCCCUUCUCGGGUUACCGAAUUCAGAUAAACUCCGAAUGCCAUGUACUUAUACUCGGGAGUCAGACUGCGAGUGAUAAGAUCCGUAGUCGAAAGGGAAACAGCCCAGACCACCAGUUAAGGUCCCCAAAUAUAUGUUAAGUGGAAAAGGAUGUGGGGUUGCUUAGACAACCAGGAUGUUGGCUUAGAAGCAGCCACCAUUGAAAGAGUGCGUAAUAGCUCACUGGUCGAGUGACCCCGCGCCGAAAAUGUACCGGGGCUAAACAUAUUA
rnacentral:rRNA from 1 species